rnacentral:rRNA from 1 species
UACGAAGGGGGCUAGCGUUGUUCGGAAUUACUGGGCGUAAAGCGCACGUAGGCGGAUACUUAAGUCAGGGGUGAAAUCCCGGGGCUCAACCCCGGAACUGCCUUUGAUACUGGGUAUCUCGAGUCCGGAAGAGGUGAGUGGAAUUCCGAGUGUAGAGGUGAAAUUCGUAGAUAUUCGGAGGAACACCAGUGGCGAAGGCGGCUCACUGGACCACAACUGACGCUGAGGCGCGAAAGCUAGGGAGCAAACAGG